CCUACGGGUGGCAGCAGUGGGGAAUCUUGCACAAUGGAGGAAACCCUGAUGCAGCAACGCCGCGUGAGUGAAGAAGUAUUUCGGUAUGUAAAGCUCUAUCAGCAGUGAAGAAAAUGACGGUACCUAAUUAAGAAGCCCCGGCUAACUACGUGCCAGCAGCCGCGGUAAUACGUAGGGGGCAAGCGUUAUCCGGAUUUACUGGGUGUAAAGGGAGCGUAGACGGCAGAACAAGUCUGGAGUGAAAGGCCGGGGCUUAACCCCGGAAUUGCAUUGGAAACUGUGCAGCUUGAGUGCAGGAGAGGUAAGUGGAACUCCUAGUGUAGCGGUGGAAUGCGUAGAUAUAAGGAGGAACACCAGUGGCGAAGGCGGCUCACUGGACUGCAACUGACGCUGAGGCUCGAAAGCGUGGGGAGCAAACAGGAUUAGAUACCCGAGUAGUC
rnacentral:rRNA from 1 species